AGAGUUCGUCAAGAAAUGGUCAAAAUAUCAAACUUCAACAUUAUGGAUCAAAGUUUGAUGUCAUCGUGAUGAAUGAAACUCAGAAUGAUUACUCACGAAAUAUGAAAGAAAAACCAAAGGAGGAUUUGACGCCAUUUUGGAUUCACCAAUGCCAGGCACAGUGAUCUCAGUUACAUGUGAACCAGGACAAGAGGUAGCUGAAGGUCAAGAGGUUUGUGUUGUUGAAACUAUGAAAAUGUAAGAUAGUUGAUGCGUUCAGAAAUCUGGCCGAAUUAAAAAAGUGAACUGUAAACCAGGAGAUAAAAUAUUGGAAGGUGAUCGACUUAUUGAGCUCGAGUAAAACUGACUUUUAAAGAAACUUUGCUAAACUGGAGUGAUCCAUAAACACAAGAAAAAAAACAACACUUUCCUGUUCAGACAAUAUUUGAAGUGAAGAAAUUUAAUCAACAGUGAUUUUCUUGUAUCAUGUGAAUAAUUAAAAAUGCAUUGUUUCAAAUAUUAUAGUUCAACAAUGAAGGAAAAUAUGAUAUGACUAACCAAUACAGCAGAGUACUGUACUUACGUACGAUAAUUAUGUACGUGUAUAAAUGAUUAUGAUUGUUUUAUUGUUUA